UGGGGAAUUUUGGACAAUGGGCGAAAGCCUGAUCCAGCAAUGCCGCGUGUGUGAAGAAGGCCUUCGGGUUGUAAAGCACUUUUGUCCGGAAAGAAAUCCUUGGCUCUAAUACAGUCGGGGGAUGACGGUACCGGAAGAAUAAGCACCGGCUAACUACGUGCCAGCAGCCGCGGUAAUACGUAGGGUGCAAGCGUUAAUCGGAAUUACUGGGCGUAAAGCGUGCGCAGGCGGUUUGCUAAGACCGAUGUGAAAUCCCCGGGCUCAACCUGGGAACUGCAUUGGUGACUGGCAGGCUAGAGUAUGGCAGAGGGGGGUAGAAUUCCACGUGUAGCAGUGAAAUGCGUAGAGAUGUGGAGGAAUACCGAUGGCGAAGGCAGCCCCCUGGCCAAUACUGACGCUCAUGCACGAAAGCGUGGGGGAGCAAACAGGAUUAGAUACCCUGGUAGUCCACGCCCUAAACGAUGUCAACUAGUUGUUGGGGAUUCAUUUCCUUAGUAACGUAGCUAACGCGUGAAGUUGACCGCCUGGGGAGUACGGUCGCAAGAUUAAACUCAAGGAAUUGACGGGGUCAUAGCUGUUUCCU
rnacentral:rRNA from 1 species